AGAGUUUGAUCCUGGCUCAGGGUGAACGCUGGCGGCGCGCUUAAUGCAUGCAAGUCGAACGUGCCUUCGGGCAAGUGGCAGACGGCUGAGUAACGCGUGAGUAACGCACCCUUCGGUGGGGUAUAGCCUCGGGAAACUGAGGGUAAUCCCGCAUACGAUCCCGAUACCCUGGUUUCGGGAUGAAAGCCUUCGGGCGCCGGAGGAGCGGCUCGCGUCCUAUCAGGUAGUUGGUGAGGUAACGGCUCACCAAGCCGAUGACGGGUAGCUGGUCUUAGAGGACGAUCAGCCAGAGGGGGACUGAGACACGGCCCCCACUCCUACGGGAGGCAGCAGCAGGGAAUUUUGGGCAAUGGACGAAAGUCUGACCCAGCGACGUCGCGUGGGGGAUGAAGGCUCUAGGGCUGUAAACCCCUUUUCCGAGGGAAGAGGAAGGACGGUACCUCGGGAAUAAGCUCCGGCUAACUACGUGCCAGCAGCCGCGGUAAUACGUAGGGAGCGAGCGUUACCCGGAAUUACUGGGCGUAAAGAGCACGUAGGCGGCUGGAUAAGUCUUCUGUGAAAGCUCCCGGCUUAACUGGGAGAGGUCAGGGGAUACUAUUCGGCUUGAGGGCUGUAGAGGUAAGCGGAAUUCCCGGUGUAGCGGUGAAAU
rnacentral:rRNA from 1 species